GCGUGAGUGAUGAAGGCCUUAGGGUUGUAAAGCUCUUUUACCAGGGAUGAUAAUGACAGUACCUGGAGAAUAAGCUCCGGCUAACUCCGUGCCAGCAGCCGCGGUAAUACGGAGGGAGCUAGCGUUGUUCGGAAUUACUGGGCGUAAAGCGCGCGUAGGCGGCUCAUCAAGUCAGGGGUGAAAUCCCGGGGCUCAACCCCGGAACUGCCCUUGAAACUGGCGAGCUAGAAUAUCGGAGAGGCAAGUGGAAUUCCGAGUGUAGAGGUGAAAUUCGU
rnacentral:rRNA from 1 species